GAGCCUGUAGCUCAGUCGGUAGAGCACGAGACUUUUAAUCUUGGGGUCGUGGGUUCGAUUCCCACCGGGCUCACCA
rnacentral:tRNA from 2 species